rnacentral:rRNA from 1 species
GACGAACGCUGGCGGCGUUCUUAACACAUGCAAGUCGAACGGAGUGGCGAACGGGUGAGUAACCCGUGGGUGAUCUGCCUUUCAAUUCGGGAUAAGCUUGGGACCCUGGGUAUAAUACCGGAUAGUGCAAGAUGAGCUCGCGGCCUAUCAGCUUGUUGGUGGGGUAAUGGCCUACCAAGGCGUCGAUGGGUAGCCGGACUGAGAGGGUGUACGGCCACAUUGGGACUUAGAUACGGCCCAGACGCCUACGGGAGGCAGCAGUGGGGAAUAUUGCACAAUGGGCGGAAGCCUGAUGCAGCGACGCCGCGUGGGGGAUGAAGGCCUUCGGGUUGUAAACUCCUUUCGACAGGGACGCGGUACCUGUAUAAGAAGCACCGGCUAACUACGUGCCAGCAGCCGCGGUAAUUC